GGAAGAACUUUUCAUAGGCUUCCCUAGUGAACUAAUACAAACUGGGAGCUUAAACAGCAGGGAGGUCCUUUCAUUAAAGGCUAGAAAGAGCCAAGGUCCCUCCAAUGUCAGGAAGAUUCCUUCCUUAAUCCCUCUGCCUUCUGACAGCUGCCUGAAUCCUUGGCUCACGGCAGCACAGCCCUAGCUUUUCCUAGAUAUUUCUGUAGCCUUCAUCCCUACAUCUCUGAGACUGAAUUUCCCUCUCCGUACGGAAAAGCCAUCAGGUUUUUGCCGCACCUUCUAGUAUGACUUCAUCGUAGCACCAUCAUAUUGGCAAAGAGCCAGUUUCCAAGUAGGCCCACAUUCACUGCCUUUGCAGAGCCAUGGCUUCAGGGGCAGCACAAGCCAGUCCACUGCAGUAUCCCAAGAUCUUUGCCUUCUAGUAUCUGUACACCCUAUGCAGGGCACACCAUUGAGGGCAGGUGGAAUGCCAUUCUGUGUUCCCAUUAGGUCACAGCAAGCUGAAGAGCACCUUACCUGAUGGCUUGAGCAAGGACUCUGCCCUGUUUGGGAGGUCUACAUGGCUAGGAACUGAGAGUGAACUUGGGGAGCUGAAAAUGACCCCAGCUGACAGCCAGUGAAAAAAUAGAAACUCAUUCUUACAACCACAAGGAACUGCAUGCUCCCAACAACCUGGAUGAGCUUGGAAAUGGAUGUUUUUUUUUGUUUUCAAAGUCUCCAGGCAAGAACCCAGCUAGAUGACACCUUGAGUAUAGGACCCAGGGCUCUUCUGAUGUCAGUGGGGUACCGCUCAAGAGCCAAGCAGACCUUGGGCGGGAUGGAGAUGCUUCUGAGCUACAGCCCACUCGGCUGCGGACUGCUACCAGCGCCUUCAGAGCCAGGCUCCAUCUUCAGCGUUAACCCUGACUGCGGAGGUCACUUGAGUUACUGGACAGAGAAGAGACUCUCAGGUCAGGAGCGGAAGUAGAGCAACAUCUAAGGCAAACGGAGUCCACGUGGAUGGACCUUCUGGACAUCAAGACCUUGUGAUCUUUCUGGCUCUGGCUCAUAGCCUGAGAUUACAAGUACAUGCCACAGUAUCUGGAAAUAUACAUGGUUUCUGGGAUUCAAACUCAAGUCCUCAUAACUGCACAGCAAGCAUUUUACUGACCUCCUGCCUGGAUGACCUGAUUCACGGAUUUGGGACGGACUGUCAAGCAUUCUGACUCCAAGGUCCAGAUCACAGUUCGUUAAUCUCCGACCAUGUGACUCAUUCUUCAGAGUGGAUGGGAGAGUGCCGCCUGCCUUCGUCCAUCUCACUGAUGAAAAGAACCCCAAGGACCGACAAUUAAGUAUUUUAAUGAAGGACCUAUUAAUUAACCCCAUCAAAGUUGAAUUUUCAAUUAUAGUCCAGAGUCUUAACUUUUUUAAAAACACGUAAUGCCCUCUUAUGGAGUUUGACAGGAAGGGUAUUAAAAAAAUGGUUUUUAAAAAAUAUUCAUUCUCUCUGCCUCAAUAAUGACACCCUUGGUGCUUUGUAAACUGCUUUUUCUCUUCUAAGGAUAAGAGGAGGGAGGGAAAAAGGCAGGGGGAGGGAGG